CCAAACUUGGUCAUUUAGAGGAAGUAAAAGUCGUAACAAGGUUUCCGUAGGUGAACCUGCGGAAGGAUCAUUAUUGAAUAACCUUGAUGGGUUGUAGCUGGCCUUUCGAGGCAUGUGCACGCCUGUCUUGAUUCUAUUCAUCCACCUGUGCACUAUUUGUAGUCUUUACAUUCUCUGGAGGUUGAUGAAAACAGGCUUUUAUUCAGUUGAGAGACUGGAUGUGAGGAUUGUUCUUGCUUUCCUCUUUAUCUUGGCCUUGUGAAAAUUGUGCCUUCUUGAGAGGGGGAGACUAUGUCUUUUAUCAUAAACCAUGUAGUAUGUUGCCAGAAUGUAAUUCAAUGGGUCUUUGUACCUAUAAAACUUUAUACAACUUUCAGCAACGGAUCUCUUGGCUCUCGCAUCGAUGAAGAACGCAGC
rnacentral:misc_RNA from 1 species